rnacentral:pre_miRNA from 1 species
GGAAGUUAAGAAAUUGUUUCUUAAUUUUUAACUAAAAAGCUAAGAAUCGGUUCUUAAAUAAGGACUUUAAGAACCGAUUCUUAGUUUUUUUAGUUAAAAGUUAAGAAACAGUUUCUUAACUUCU